UACGUAGGGUCCGAGCGUUGUCCGGAAUUACUGGGCGUAAAGAGCUCGUAGGUGGUUUGUCGCGUUGUUCGUGAAAACUCACAGCUCAACUGUGGGCGUGCGGGCGAUACGGGCAGACUGGAGUACUGCAGGGGAGACUGGAAUUCCUGGUGUAGCGGUGGAAUGCGCAGAUAUCAGGAGGAACACCGGUGGCGAAGGCGGGUCUCUGGGCAGUAACUGACGCUGAGGAGCGAAAGCGUGGGGAGCGAACAGGA
rnacentral:rRNA from 1 species